rnacentral:scRNA from 1 species
AUCCACCUUCGACAGUUGUAGAUGCA